rnacentral:tRNA from 1 species
GCGGUCGUGGCGGAAUGGCAGACGCGCUACCUUGAGGGGGUAGUAUUUUAGGAUGUGUGGGUUCAAAUCCCAUCGACCGCACCA